GGGCCGUUAGCUCAGAUGGUAGAGCAGCGGACUUUUAAUCCGUUGGUCACUGGUUCGAAUCCAGUACGGCCCAC
rnacentral:tRNA from 1 species